GGCCGCGUGGCCCCGCCCACCCCCACUAGUGAUUGGCUCGGAGCGGAAAGGGGGCGUGUCGCCCCGGCUGCCUGGCGACUGGCUCCUCCCCUCCGGGUCGGCCGUUCCUGCAGCGCCCUCUGGCGCUCAGAGGGAGAAAAACGCGAAGAGUCGUUGCCCGCGCUCCGCCGGGGGGACGGAUGAACUCGCUUGGGAGGGGACUUCGCAGCCGGGAAGGAGGAAACUGAGACCCAGAGGGAGGAUUGGAGUCACCCAAGGUCAAUCGCACUGCUAGUUUGAGCAGGGGUGGGACCGGAACCCAAGUCUUCUGAUGUGGAAUCUGUGCCUUUUAACAAGCUGCUUCCCUCUUGCACCCUGGGAGAGGUUGGGGCUUUUGUUGACAGAAGCAAGCACUUCCUCAUUCUAGGAGUCAUAAGGCACGCAGAGAGAGACAGAGGGAGAAGCAGGCUCCCUGCAAAGAGCCUGAUAUGGGACCCAAUCCCAGGACCCCGGAACCACAACCAGAGCUGAAGGCAGACACUCAACCACUGAGAGCCACCCAGAUGCCCCUCAAAAUGCUUUUGGCUCCACAGGUGCGGAGGAGACAAAGGAGCUGAACUGAGGGGCAACCAGGAACAAUGUGGGGGUUUAUGAAAUCUUAGUGAAUGUCUUCCUUUUUAUUGGAGUUGUAUUAGGCUGGGCCAUUGCCUGCUUCCAGUGGAAGGACUACAGAGGGUCCAUAAAAUUCUCCGAAAAUUCUGUGUCUCAAUCAGUCCCAGCUUCCUCUGUAUUCCCCAGGGACCUAGGAGGUCACAGUGGCUGUGAGUGGAGAUUAUCAGGGUGUCAAGUGGGGCCGUUGCCCUAAUAAGAUUCCCUGAACUAGAGGCUUGUCAAUUACCUGUGAAAGAGGUGAAUCAACAUGCUUAAUCCUUACUUAUAUCAAAGUUUUUGGUCCUCAGCAGGCAAAGGUGACAGAAAGUGCGGUCUUUCAUAGCCUUAGAACCAAGGAUGUCCCAACAAUGAAGCAAGAACAUUGUUGGCCAGCUAUCCUACCUGACAUCUUGAGAUAUCAGGAACAUAAUCCAUUCACCUUCUAGAUUUCCUCUGAGUUCCUCUUUGGUGAGCCUGCAGGCUCCCUCUGGAUCCUGGGGUCUCUGGAAGAUGUAAACACUAAGCUAUUUUGUUGGGGAGGUUCUGUAAUCUGAAUGUGCACUGAGCCUGCACAAUCCUCUCGCCCACCUUGCCACUCCUCACAGGGUCUAGCUAUCCAACAGUCUCAUGCAAAUAGGCACAGCCAGGCUACCUGCCAGGUGUUAGAGACAUCAGUUAUCAACAAAAAGGGGUAAGUGUCUAAGCCCCUGGAGCCUGACUCAAGUAAGACAAUAGGGUCAAGGCUGCUCUCUUUCCUCUGAGGAGUGAAAUGAUUCUGACUCAGCUGCUUUAAAACUGUGGAAGAGGUGUCAUCAGCAAUCAGGGCAGUUUAGGACUCUGGAAUCUGGCCAUGGGGUGAUUUUCACAUCAGCCUCUGUCUCAGUGACUGAGGACCUUGGGACUUCUUUGUUUCCUUCAAGCCCAAGUCUCCUCAGAUGCCUUCUCCAGUGGGCCAGGCAAUGGAAGGCAGAGGAGCGGAUCUCCCCACUCCGCAGGGCAUAAAUGAUGGGGUUGAUCAUGGAGUUGACAAGACAGAGCAAGGAGCAGAAGGCGAAGACCUUCUUGACCUGGUCACUUAGGGUAGUGGUCAGGCUGUAGACCAUGAGGGCCAGUACCGGGAGCCAGCAUAUGAAAAGGACAGCCAGCACCACCCCCAGGGUCUUGGCCAACCUCACAUCUAGCCUCAUUCGUGCCAUCCCUGGCACCUGCCUGUCCUGGUGUUCAGCCAAGCUGGCUACAUGCUGAUGGGCCUUCCACAGGACAUGCCCAUAAGUGUAGAUGAUGCCAAAGAAGAGGAAGGCAAUGAACAGGAGCCAACCCAGCAAAUAGUCAUUGGGGAUCAGGGGGAAAAGCUCAGAGCAGGGAUUGGGACAGCAAGUCCAUCCCAUAAGGGGCAAGUAGGAGACCAAUGCAGAGAGGGCCCACAUGAUGCCCAGGGUUGCCAGGGCCCUCCCACAGGUGAGUAGGGCUUUGUAUGUAGAUGGGUGGCACAGGCAGAGGUAGCGGUCAAUGGCGGUCAGCAGUAGGCUGCCUACAGAGGCUGUGAAGGUCAUGGUCACGCUGCCAAUCUUCAGUAGGAAAACAGCCUUGGAAUCCAUGCCAUGGAAGACGUGGAAAUUUACAAAGUUGCAAGCAAAGAUCACACUGGCCAGGAAGUCAGCCACAGCCAAGCUGCUAAUGAACAGCCCAAUCCUGAGACUUCCCAUUGAAAGUAAGAGAAAUCUCUGAGGCUCAAAAACCACAAGGAAAUCAAAACCAAGAAAAAAAUGGAAUCCAGAACGAUAAGAUGGAGGGGAUUUUUCUGUUGAUGUUCUACUCUGUUCUGUUUGCCCAUUUUGUGCUAGCCCACGCCAACGUGGUGUAGGGCGCGUGGACAGCCGGGGCAGGCCUCACCGCUCACAGGCCACUGCAGGCAGCCCUGCCGGCUCCACUAUUCCUCCGGAUGCUCCAUCAUCAUUUCCCAGACUCAUCUUUCAUCCAGUGAAGCCUUCCUUGAUGCUCCAUCACAAAGGAAGCUCCCCUCAUUACUCUGCUUAUGUUGUAACCAGUUCUGCACUAGGCUUUUCUCCAACUGGAACUAACCACCAUUUGGAUGCAUGUCGGUGCUCAGUGGGUAAGGUGGACCUGGAGCCUGCAGCCUGACCUAUACUGAUGCUGAGUGUCUGGGAAAGGAAACUUCAGCUGCCAGGAAGCUCAGAACUAAAUCCGAUGCAAGCCUGUGGGUCAUUCAAGCAGGCUCCCGUCCCCUGCUUUCGGAUCUGUCAGAUUCCCCUGGGACCCAGGCAGAUCCACAGAGACACACAGAGGAUGGAUUCACUGUCUAGCAGAGCAGCAGCAGCAGAUGGUAUGAAGCUCAGAAUCUCCAAUGAAGCCAUUUGCUGAGCCCAGGUGCCCAUCUGGUGCCAGCAUCAUCCAGCCAACCCUCAUCGUGGCAGGCCCAUGAGUGCUGGUCUCGGGCCCAAAGUUCUCAGAAGAGGGAGCUGAAUGGGAAAGAGGGGGACUGAUAUCCUGAGGCCACGGAGUUACCAGUGCUGAGAUUCACCUGGGUGCUGGCGCAGGACACACUCAUAAACACUAGUGUCCUGCUGAGUGGAACGUCUGUGGAGUGGACCCCUGGCCUCCUGGACCUAGUGUGGCUCUCACCCUACUGAGCUGUCUGCAUGUCAGUGACUGUCUCCUUCUGUCUGGACCUUGGUGGGCCUGCAAAGCUGAAUGCUGAUUCGUGAUCCUGUCCAAGGGUGAGGACGGCACCAGCCCCAAGCCUUCCUGUGACUGGUCCUCACACACCUUGGGAGUCCUCUUCAUUAGGCAUCAAUCUCCUGGCCCCAGUCGGGCCCCCCCAGCUUCUUAAAUCCCUGAGAGGGGGAGGGGGAAAGUGGGAACCCAGGUUUCAAAGAACACAGGUUUUCUGAAAUGAGGAAGAGGUCCCAAAUAAAGCAACAAUGGAAAGCUACUCACUGUGGUCUGUGGGCUGAGCUUCCUGAUCCUGCUGGGUGCUGAGGAGUCCUGGUAGUUGUGCGUUAAGGAGCUGGCCCUGGGUCCCAGUCAGAGCUACUGUUCAACAGCCACCCAAGUCAGCUUUCUCUUGCUUUUACUCUUUUUCACAGAUGAGUGAGCAUGAGGAGGUCUGGCCUUCCGUCCCUCUCACCACUUCCCCUCUGGGUCCCCAGUACCACAGCAUUCUGUCCCUGUAAUUGUGUUAUUUCUCACAAGGAACUCUGACCAGGGAGGGGAGGGGCAUCUGUAUAGCCCCUGGAGUCAAGGGACUUGAGUUCUAAUCCCAUGUAGCUCUUAUGACCUUGAGCAAUUCACUUAAUCUUCUUAAACCUUAGUUUCUUCAUCUGCAAAAUGGAGGUAAUGCACCAGCGUUACACAGACCACCUAAAAGGACAUUCCGUUCCAAUCCCUCUUGCCUAUCAGAUCAGAACUUUGAAAUUCAAUGCCUAUCAGUGUCCGCCAGAAAACAUCAAUGGGUGAAGAGUGCUGG